rnacentral:lncRNA from 1 species
AUGGAUGGAUGGAUGACCGGCUGUACCGGGAUGGACGGAUGGAUGACCGGCUGUACCGGGAUGGAUGGAUGGAUGACCGGCUGUACCGGGAUGGAUGGAUGGAUGACCGGCUGUACCGGGAUGACCGACCGACUGACUGUGCACCGCGGCGCGGGGCCGGGCGGGCUGAGAAGGGCGGCCAUCCCCGCCGACCAGCCGCGAUGCCGCUCCCGCACGACGAGACCGGCCGGGACGGGGCGGCGGGUCCGAGCACACACAGAGCGCUCGGCCCCGAACUGCGGCCCCGAACUGAGCUGCGGCCCCGCGCUGCCCAUCGCCGCGAUCCCUUUGUGCCGGGACCGGCUGCCCCGGGCCGGGUCCCUCGUCCCGCCGUCUCGGCCGGUCCCGGUGCCGGUUGCCGUGGUAACGCGGAGGCCGCCGCUCUCUCCCCCACGUGCCCGCAGCGCCGCCCGCCGCCGCCAGGUGCCGCCGCGCCGCUCCCGGCCGUCCCGCCUCCGCGCUCCCAUUGGCUGGCGCCGGCCGUCAGCGCGUCGCGAUUGGCUGCUGCGGCGUCGGCGGCGCAGGGUGCGCUCGGAGGCCGCAGGUGAGCGGAGGGAAAUGGCGGCGCGCGGCGUGGCGCCCCCUGCUGCCAACGGCGGGACGGGAACGGAACGGGAACGGGAACGGGAACGGGAACGGGAACGGGGACACGGAGCCGGGGCCGACAGCACCGGGGGGGAGGAGAGAAAGGGGGGGGGGAGGCCGGCAGUCAGGCCGAGGGGAGCAGCGCCGGGCCCCGCGUUCCGGGCAGCGCCGAUGGGGUCAGCGCCGCCGCUCGGUGCGGGCCCGGUUUCUGCAGCGUCCCGCAGCCCCCGCCGGGCCGCAGCCCCGAGCUGCCGGCAGCACCGGGGUCCCGCUCCGAGCCCGCCCCGCGCUCCUUCCCCCCCCCGGAUCCCGCAGGACGCGGAGCAGCGCGAGCACACGGAGCGCGGACACUGCCCGCAUCGCUGCGGUGUGAUUAGGGCUGGGCUGGGGUUGGGGUUGGGGUUAGAGUUAGGGUUAGGGUUGGGGUUGGGGUUGGGGUUGGGGCUGCGUGCGGCCCGACCGGCUGCUCGGUCGCCGGUGCCUGCACACAGCGCGGGGUUGGUCCUUCUCAGCCCGGGCCGUUCCGUGACCCUCCGAUUCCCUCCGACAUCCCGGUGCCGUGACGCUUCACACGUAACGACCCCGUGA